CCUACGGGCGGCAGCAGUGAGGAAUAUUGGUCAAUGGGCGCGAGCCUGAACCAGCCAAGUAGCGUGAAUGAUGACUGCCCUACGGUUUGUAAACUUCUUUUAUAAAGGGAUAAGGUGAGGCACGUGUACCUUUUGGAAUUUACUUUAUGAAUAAGGAUCGGCUAACUCCGUGCCAGAAGCCGCGGUAAUACGGAGGAUCCGAGCGUUAUCCGGAUUUAUUGGGUGGAAAGGGAGCGUAGAUGGGUUGUUAAGUCAGUUGUGAAAGUUUGCGGCUCAACCGUAAAAUUGCAAUUGAUACUGGCAGUCUUGAGUACCGUUGAGGUAGGUAGAAUUCGAGGUGUAGCGGUGAAAUGCGUAGAUAUCACGAAGAACUCCGAUUGCGAAGGCGGCUCACUGAACGGCGACUGACAUUGAUGCGCGAAAGUGUGGGUAUCAAACAGGAUUAGAUACCCGUGUAGUC
rnacentral:rRNA from 1 species